GAACCUAAGGGCAGCUUAGCCCUAACUGCUGACCCAUUGGGUGGAGAUGGAGAUUUGGCUACUCUGCUUGGCUUUGGUGGGGAUUCCCUUCAUUCCUGACUUAUUUUAGGCCCAUUCUUUCUUAACAAGAGCUUAAAAAGAGAAAUAACCUCCAUAGGAGAAGAGACCUGUUUGGGGGUCAAGGAUAUUUAGGUAUCUUGAAUCUCUGUUACAAAUUUUUAAUCAGAUUCUCAAGGUUUAUUUGUAAGAGACAAUAGACUGCCAAGUGCCCAAGACUGAAUCUUAAUUUUUAUUAUUCCAUGUCUUA
rnacentral:sRNA from 1 species